rnacentral:lncRNA from 1 species
CCUGCCUGCUCCAGAGAUUGCUACUAGUACAACUUGAGGUCUUCGUCAAAAUGAAGUGGUUUGUGGCUGAAACAACCUCCACGGGAAAGAAAACUGGAGUGUUCGUUCAUCCAUCAAAGAACAAACGCCAACGUCUGAGCCAACGACCCCAGCUCCCCCAGACAAAGCAGUGAACAGAUUAAAGGAUGGGAGGAAGGAUACAAUCAAAAUCGGGUGGUGAUGGCUGGC